UGUGAAGUGUGCUGUGCCAGGUGGAC
rnacentral:piRNA from 1 species